UACGUAGGAGGCAAGCGUUGUCCGGAAUUACUGGGCGUAAAGCGCGUGUAGGUGGCAAGGCAAGUCGGGUGUGAAAGCCCUGGGCUCAACCCAGGAAGUGCACUCGAUACUGCCUCGCUAGAGUCCCGGAGAGGUUGGUGGAACUCUCGGUGUAGAGGUGAAAUUCGUAGAUAUCGAGAAGAACACCGGUGGCGAAGGCGGCCAACUGGACGGUGACUGACACUGAGACGCGAAAGCGUGGGGAGCAAACAGG
rnacentral:rRNA from 1 species